rnacentral:tRNA from 1 species
GAGGGUAUAGCUCAGGGGUAGAGCAUGUGCUUAGCAUGCAUGAGGUCCUGGGUUCAAUUCCCAGCACUUUCA